UGUUUGUGGAAUUACAAAGUAAAAUUUCCAACUAUUAGAUAUUUAUAGGGAUAUUUAAUCAUCAGACCUAGUGUACUUACACGGAGCUCAUAUACAUGGGCAAAGUCUUAGAAAGGCGCUAUGUGUUGGAGACAUAAAAGUCAUGCUGGAGCUGAGUUAGGUUUUCUGAUAUCUCUGAAUCUGACCCAUUAUGGGAAUAGGAUCUACGCACACGUCAGGUGAUGGAACUUGCACAAUAUGAUAUGGGACAGGGGCUCGUUUAAAUGGAUCUGCCAUUUGAUAGCUGCCUGGCUACUCACAGCUCCUCUGAGUGCCAGUCCUCUCCUUUCAGAAACAAGGACAGUGAGAUAUCAGUCCUUUCAAAGAGCAUUAUGAAACCUGAAGGUGAUUAUUUUCACAUGCUGUUUUCUCUUUGUUUUGUAAUAGUAAUUUUCUAACAGAAGUGGGCAGCAACUGAGAUUUUGAGACAAACUCUUAGCAAUGUACACAUAGGUGGAAAACAAAUCAUGUGUCCACAAGAUGCACCUUUCCUUCUUAGACUCCCAAUUCCAUAAUCUUGAAUGCCUUUCAGAGACUUUUGUAGACUUAACUGGAUAAAACUAAGGGAUUUGGUUUUAAAACAAGCUAUUUGGUUUCUCAAGCAAAUAACAUAGGUCAAUAUUAUUAAACAUGAAAGUUAAGCAUCAAAAUUCUUGUUUGGCAUCUAAACAUCUGUUCUUUGUAUUCUCAUCUUCUUUAGGUUGUAGCUUUUUAUCUUUGUGAAGCAGAGGCCCCAUGACGGCUUUCCCCAUGAUGGCUUCCAAGUUCUCAGCAUGGUUCACAGCGAGGGAAGAGGAGGGAUCAGUCCUAUCCUCAUGCACCAGUUGGAUGUUAGUGGAAACUAAAGAAAUUGAGAACAAUGAACCUUAUCUAACCCCCAUAAAUAGCAAUUUUCAGGUAAUUGAGCUGAACACAGCUGACUCAGUCUGUUUCACCUUUUGUUCUGUCCAGUGAAAUUGUUGCAUAUGGACAACCACUUUCCAGGUUCGGCUGUGGGAUAUAUUCUGCUGUGUGUGUGCACUACCACUCCCUGAACUGUCACAUGCAUUUCAGUAUUUUCUGUCUUGAGGCUCUCUCCUGCUGCUCUGCAGAAGGUAAGGCCUAAUAUUUCUGUGUUAUGUGGGCUGCUGUUCAGACCUGUGUGGUUGCAGCAGCACAGUACAUCCCUGCAACUAAUUGUCAGCUCCCUGUGGCCAUCUUGGCACGACAAUUAUACCCAGUAUCUUGGCUAUUAUACUGCUGGGGAAUCACAGGUAGCUCUGCACCUUUAGAGGAUCACACAGCUCCACCAAGUCGUUCAGAUUAGCGUGGCAAUUAAGGGAUAGCGAAGAGCUGGGAAUCCUUAAUGCUGACUGACAACAUGGCACUACUAGAUGAAAAGGGGAAAAAGAAAGCCACUGCGAAAACUGAAACACUGUGAAAUGGCCAAAGCCCCUGAGCUAAGGCACUUUUUAUGCGAUUGCCAUCAGGCAGGGAGGCAGCAUGUCCUGGGCUGAAGGUACUGACUGAUACCAACAUCCCCCAACCUCUUCCAGAGGAAUUUGAUUUUACUACUUCUGUUUGUGUAGGCCCUAAUGUUUGCUAAAAUGUUUGCUAAAACAGAGCUCUGUUUCCAAGGUAACAGCUACCUAACUUUAUUACUAAAACAGCGCUAAUUCAGAGAGGGAUCUGAACAAACAGAUUCAUGUUAAUUUCAAGCUCCAUUAAAAACACAAGGAAAAAAAAAAUCAAUGUUUGCCAAAUGGAAAAAGAGAAAAAAAUCAAUAGAGAAAUUUUAUUUUCAGCCUUUUAAGUGGGGUUUUGUAAACAGCAGAGGUUAAAAAAGUAAAACUACGUGAGAGCAGCCCACAGCAUCCUUGUAAGCUGUAAACAGGAGAACAAAAAGAUUUAGUGAUAAUGUAGGAAUAAUAGCUAGGGCUGUAAAACCCUAAUGCCUUGAGAAAUCGAGGCACAGGAGCGGGAUGACCUGUCUCAAGCCACGUGCCUCCAGGCUGUGACUGCGGAGCAGCGACCAGAAGGCUCGG
rnacentral:lncRNA from 1 species